CAAAAACAUCGCCUCUUGCAAAAUCAAAAAAUAAGAGGUCCCGCCUGCCCUGUGACAAUUAGUUUAACGGCCGCGGUAUUUUGACCGUGCGAAGGUAGCGCAAUCACUUGUCUCUUAAAUGGGGACCUGUAUGAAUGGCAUAACGAGGGCUUAACUGUCUCCUUUUCCUAUUCAAUGAAAUUGAUCUCCCCGUGCAGAAGCGGGGAUUAAAACAUAAGACGAGAAGACCCUAUGGAGCUUUAGACGCCAGGAAAGACCAUGUUAAACACCCACGAAUAAAGAACUAAACUAAAUGGCCCCUUUCCCCAUGUCUUUGGUUGGGGCGACCACGGGGAAAUACAAAACCCCCACGAGGAUCGGGGACACCCACUCCUAAAACCAAGAGCGACAGCUCUAAGUAUCAGAAUAUCUGACCAGAAAGAUCCGGCAAAAGCCGAUCAACGAACCGAGUUACCCUAGGGAUAACAGCGCAAUCCCCUUCUAGAGCCCACAUCGACAAGGGGGUUUACGACCUCGAUGUUGGAUCAGGACAUCCUAAUGGUGUAGCCGCUAUUAAGGGUUCGUUUGUUCAACGAUUAAAGUCCUACGUGAUCU
rnacentral:rRNA from 1 species